rnacentral:rRNA from 1 species
AUUGAACGCUGGCGGCAGGCCUAACACAUGCAAGUCGAGCGGUAGCACAGAGAGCUUGCUCUCGGGUGACGAGCGGCGGACGGGUGAGUAAUGUCUGGGAAACUGCCUGAUGGAGGGGGAUAACUACUGGAAACGGUAGCUAAUACCGCAUAAUGUCGCAAGACCAAAGUGGGGGACCUUCGGGCCUCAUGCCAUCAGAUGUGCCCAGAUGGGAUUAGCUAGUAGGUGGGGUAAUGGCUCACCUAGGCGACGAUCCCUAGCUGGUCUGAGAGGAUGACCAGCCACACUGGAACGGAGACACGGUCCAGACUCCUACGGGAGGCAGCAGUGGGGAAUAUUGCACAAUGGGCGCAAGCCUGAUGCAGCCAUGCCGCGUGUGUGAAGAAGGCCUUCGGGUUGUAAAGCACUUUCAGCGGGGAGGAAGGCGGUGAGGUUAAUAACCUCAUCGAUUGACGUUACCCGCAGAAGAAGCACCGGCUAACUCCGUGCCAGCCGCCGCAGUAA